rnacentral:tRNA from 1 species
GGGGGUUUAGCUCAGUGGCAGAGCGCUUGCCUAGCAAGCGCAAGGCCCUGGGUUCGGUCCCCAGCUCCA